rnacentral:rRNA from 1 species
AUACGUAGGGUGCGAGCGUUGUCCGGAAUUAUUGGGCGUAAAGGGCUCGUAGGCGGUUUGUCGCGUCGGGAGUGAAAACAUCCAGCUUAACUGGGUGCUUGCUUCCGAUACGGGCAGACUAGAGGUAUGCAGGGGAGAACGGAAUUCCUGGUGUAGCGGUGAAAUGCGCAGAUAUCAGGAGGAACACCGGUGGCGAAGGCGGUUCUCUGGGCAUUACCUGACGCUGAGGAGCGAAAGUGUGGGGAGCGAACAGGAUUAGAUACCCUGGUAGUCCACACCGUAAACGUUGGGCGCUAGGUGUGGGGCCUAUUCCAUGGGUUCCGUGCCGCAGCUAACGCAUUAAGCGCCCCGCCUGGGGAGUACGGCCGCAAGGCUAAA